AAGUCGUAACAAGGUUUCCGUAGGUGAACCUGCGGAAGGAUCAUUAACAAAUUCCAAAACUCGUGUUUGACUUGUCUUGAAUCUGGUUUUUUCAAGCCUCUUUAUACGACAGUAUGAAGGGCUUGAGGGCGCUGGAGUAAGGGUCAAGUCAGUUAACAACACAAAAACACACUUUACAUUUAUUGACAACUAAUGGAGAAUCUAAACGUUAAAUCGAAACAACUUUUAACAAUGGAUCUCUCGGCUCUU
rnacentral:misc_RNA from 1 species